UCUCUCUCUUAGAAAUAAAUAAAACAUUAAAAAAAAGAAUAAUAAAGUUUAACAAGCAGAAGCAUAGACUCUUAAAAUGAAAACAACGUUGAACGUUUCCUAUGUAAACAUGCUCUGAUCGGGGAAGGCAAGGUUAAGUGAAAUAUAAAACUCCACUUCAAUUAUUCAUUAAUUCCCUCUUUCCCUCAUCAUCACUAUUAUUUUUUGGAUGCCACAGUGUCUUGGGGACCAGGGAUCCAGGGAGAGACCCCCCCCAGUAGGCAGGACAGGGGUUCUUUACCACAGGGGUUACAUCCGCCUUAGUGGGUGUUAAACCCAAGGGCAGCGGAGGAGGGAGGCUUGGCUCUCAUCUGGGUCAUGCCAGCCUCUUCCAUGUCCCUCCCCUGCUCCUUUACCUUCAUGCUGCGCGUUUACCUUGAUGCAAGACUCGCCUGUCCCUCCCGGAGCCGGAAACAAUCUAUGCCUGCGGUUGUGGGCCCCGCCCCCCACCAUUUCCUACAGCCGCUGAACGUAACAGACAAUAAACCUUUAUCUUCUUGCCAUUUACCUUCAGCCAGAAAAGCAAACAACACAAAGACUCUCUGAGUGGGCGCCGCAGGAGUGUCUACAGGGCAAUUAUUCAGCCGGGCCAAGUCUCCAGAGCAGUCCGCCAGCCCCCAUGAGCUCUUGGUGGUGGGAAAGCAGAGAAGUGCUGGUGCGAAGAAAGGAAGGCCGGGGCUCCGUCAGUUAAGCAUCCGACUCUUGGUUUCAGCUGAGGGUUUCAACCUGGGGUCCAUGGACGCCCACCCCCACCCCAGGCAGCUGAGGAGAGAAUCCGAUGGGUUUGUAAACUUGGAUCGAAAAAAAAUUUACAUCUUUGUCUUCAUUAACUUCCAGCGGAAAUCUAGCGUUUUCUUCAAUCGUGUAAGCCAGCAACCUAGCAGGAUCUGUAUCACCUUGCAAUCAUUGCGGGGAUCUUAAAUACCAUUUAUGUUCUUCUAGUUUGAAAAUACUGACAUUAUUACGCUGCUAAUGUAUUAAUCAAGAAGCACCACAUAACACACAUAUUCACGUAGUUUCAUCAUUGUGAUUCAAUAAAAUUGGUUUCCUUUGUAGUCC